UUAAGCGACUAAGCGUACACGGUGGAUGCCCUGGCAGUCAGAGGCGAUGAAGGACGUGCUAAUCUGCGAAAAGCGUCGGUAAGGUGAUAUGAACCGUUAUAACCGGCGAUGUCCGAAUGGGGAAACCCAGUGCAAUUCGUUGCACUAUCGUUAACUGAAUACAUAGGUUAACGAGGCGAACCGGGGGAACUGAAACAUCUAAGUACCCCGAGGAAAAGAAAUCAACCGAGAUUCCCCCAGUAGCGGCGAGCGAACGGGGAGCAGCCCAGAGUCUGAAUCAGCUUGUGUGUUAGUGGAACGGUCUGGAAAGUCCGACGGUACAGGGUGAUAGUCCCGUACACCAAAAUGCACAGGCUGUGAACUCGAAGAGUAGGGCGGGACACGUGGUAUCCUGUCUGAAUAUGGGGGGACCAUCCUCCAAGGCUAAAUACUCCUGACUGACCGAUAGUGAACCAGUACCGUGAGGGAAAGGCGAAAAGAACCCCGGCGAGGGGAGUGAAAAAGAACCUGAAACCGUGUACGUACAAGCAGUGGGAGCACCUUCGGGUGUGACUGCGUACCUUUUGUAUAAUGGGUCAGCGACUUAUAUUCUGUAGCAAGGUUAACCGUAUAGGGGAGCCGCAGGGAAACCGAGUCUUAACUGGGCGUUAAGUUGCAGGGUAUAGACCCGAAACCCGGUGAUCUAGCCAUGGGCAGGUUGAAGGUUGGGUAACACUAACUGGAGGACCGAACCGACUAAUGUUGAAAAAUUAGCGGAUGACUUGUGGCUGGGGGUGAAAGGCCAAUCAAACCGGGAGAUAGCUGGUUCUCCCCGAAAGCUAUUUAGGUAGCGCCUCGUGAACUCAUCUUCGGGGGUAGAGCACUGUUUCGGCUAGGGGGUCAUCCCGACUUACCAACCCGAUGCAAACUACGAAUACCGAAGAAUGUUAUCACGGGAGACACACGGCGGGUGCUAACGUCCGUCGUGAAGAGGGAAACAACCCAGACCGCCAGCUAAGGUCCCAAAGUCAUGGUUAAGUGGGAAACGAUGUGGGAAGGCACAGACAGCCAGGAUGUUGGCUUAGAAGCAGCCAUCAUUUAAAGAAAGCGUAAUAGCUCACUGGUCGAGUCGGCCUGCGCGGAAGAUGUAACGGGGCUAAACCAUGCACCGAAGCUGCGGCAGCGACACUAUGUGUUGUUGGGUAGGGGAGCGUUCUGUAAGCCUGCGAAGGUGACCUGUGAGGGUUGCUGGAGGUAUCAGAAGUGCGAAUGCUGACAUAAGUAACGAUAAAGCGGGUGAAAAGCCCGCUCGCCGGAAGACCAAGGGUUCCUGUCCAACGUUAAUCGGGGCAGGGUGAGUCGACCCCUAAGGCGAGGCCGAAAGGCGUAGUCGAUGGGAAACAGGUUAAUAUUCCUGUACUUGGUGUUACUGCGAAGGGGGGACGGAGAAGGCUAUGUUAGCCGGGCGACGGUUGUCCCGGUUUAAGCAUGUAGGCUGGUUGUCCAGGCAAAUCCGGAUAAUCAAGGCUGAGGUGUGAUGACGAGGCACUACGGUGCUGAAGUAACAAAUGCCCUGCUUCCAGGAAAAGCCUCUAAGCAUCAGGUAACAUCAAAUCGUACCCCAAACCGACACAGGUGGUCAGGUAGAGAAUACCAAGGCGCUUGAGAGAACUCGGGUGAAGGAACUAGGCAAAAUGGUGCCGUAACUUCGGGAGAAGGCACGCUGGUGUGUAGGUGAAGCCCCUGCGGGUGGAGCUGAGACCAGUCGAAGAUACCAGCUGGCUGCAACUGUUUAUUAAAAACACAGCACUGUGCAAACACGAAAGUGGACGUAUACGGUGUGACGCCUGCCCGGUGCCGGAAGGUUAAUUGAUGGGGUUAUCCGUAAGGAGAAGCUCUUGAUCGAAGCCCCGGUAAACGGCGGCCGUAACUAUAACGGUCCUAAGGUAGCGAAAUUCCUUGUCGGGUAAGUUCCGACCUGCACGAAUGGCGUAAUGAUGGCCAGGCUGUCUCCACCCGAGACUCAGUGAAAUUGAACUCGCUGUGAAGAUGCAGUGUACCCGCGGCAAGACGGAAAGACCCCGUGAACCUUUACUAUAGCUUGACACUGAACAUUGAGCCUUGAUGUGUAGGAUAGGUGGGAGGCUUUGAAGCGUGGACGCCAGUCUGCGUGGAGCCAACCUUGAAAUACCACCCUUUAAUGUUUGAUGUUCUAACGUUGGCCCCUUAUCGGGGUUGCGGACAGUGUCUGGUGGGUAGUUUGACUGGGGCGGUCUCCUCCCAAAGCGUAACGGAGGAGCACGAAGGUUAGCUAAUCCUGGUCGGACAUCAGGAGGUUAGUGCAAUGGCAUAAGCUAGCUUGACUGCGAGCGUGACGGCGCGAGCAGGUGCGAAAGCAGGUCAUAGUGAUCCGGUGGUUCUGAAUGGAAGGGCCAUCGCUCAACGGAUAAAAGGUACUCCGGGGAUAACAGGCUGAUACCGCCCAAGAGUUCAUAUCGACGGCGGUGUUUGGCACCUCGAUGUCGGCUCAUCACAUCCUGGGGCUGAAGUAGGUCCCAAGGGUAUGGCUGUUCGCCAUUUAAAGUGGUACGCGAGCUGGGUUUAGAACGUCGUGAGACAGUUCGGUCCCUAUCUGCCGUGGGCGCUGGAGAAUUGAGGGGGGCUGCUCCUAGUACGAGAGGACCGGAGUGGACGCAUCACUGGUGUUCGGGUUGUCAUGCCAAUGGCACUGCCCGGUAGCUAAAUGCGGAAGAGAUAAGUGCUGAAAGCAUCUAAGCACGAAACUUGCCCCGAGAUGAGUUCUCCCUGAGACUUUAAGUCUCCUGAAGGAACGUUAAAGACGAUGACGUUGAUAGGCCGGGUGUGUAAGCGCAGCGAUGCGUUGAGCUAACCGGUACUAAUGAACCGUGAGGCUUAACCUU
rnacentral:rRNA from 1 species